GUGCUGACAGCACAUAUACUAAAACUUAAAUGAUAUAGAGAAGAUUAGCAAAGCCUCCAUACAAGGAUGAAGGACAGGUUUGUGAAGCAUUCCAUAUUUUU
rnacentral:snRNA from 1 species